rnacentral:rRNA from 1 species
AGUGAACGCUGGCGGUAGGCCUAACACAUGCAAGUCGAACGGCAGCACAGUAAGAGCUUGCUCUUACGGGUGGCGAGUGGCGGACGGGUGAGGAAUACAUCGGAAUCUACUUUUUCGUGGGGGAUAACGUAGGGAAACUUACGCUAAUACCGCAUACGACCUACGGGUGAAAGCAGGGGAUCUUCGGACCUUGCGCGAUUGAAUGAGCCGAUGUCGGAUUAGCUAGUUGGCGGGGUAAAGGCCCACCAAGGCGACGAUCCGUAGCUGGUCUGAGAGGAUGGUCAGCCACACUGGAACGGAGACACGGUCCAGACUCCUACGGGAGGCAGCAGUGGGGAAUAGUGGACAAUGGGCGCAAGCCUGAUCCAGCCAUACCGCGUGGGUGAAGAAGGCCUUCGGGUUGUAAAGCCCUUUUGUUGGGAAAGAAAAGCAGCAGGUUAAUACCCCGCUGUUCUGACGGUACCCAAAGAAUAAGCACCGGCUAACUUCGUG